rnacentral:lncRNA from 1 species
UUCGUUUUUGCUAAGACAGAAGAUGAUCGGCGCUAGUACCUUCUUUGAUAGCAUUAAAGGCAAUCAUCUAGCUGUCGGCAGAUUUGAAAAAUGGGAUGGGAAAUGCAACAAGACUUUUUCAGUGGAAGGAGUAGCCGCUUCUGGAACUGGACUUACAUUUAACUAAAUGGACUUUUCAGUUGACCCCUUCUAGAGUCUCUUCAGAUCUAUAACCACUUAGCUGCUGUUUUGGAUUAUUUCAAGAAUUCAUACGGGUUUGUUACGGCCGCUUCCAGAAUUUGUCACGACAUCUGUACGGAUUGAAAUUUGCAGUUGGCCACUACUAGUGUCUCGUCAGAUCUUCAACCACUUAGCCGCUGUUUUGGAUUACUUGAAAAAUUUAUGCGGGUGUGUUGCAGCCGUUUCCAAAAUUUGGCACGAAAUCUCUACAGAUUGAAAAUUUGCAGUUGGCGUCUACCAGACAGGAGAAAAUCAGCGUUUGUAAGUUCUUUGAUAGCAUUGAACUGAACCUUUUAAACACCGGGAGAUUGAAAAAUUCGUUUUUGCUAAGACAAAAGAUGAUCGGAG